UUAGAUGUUCCAGAAGCCCUGGCUGGGCUGGUCACUUCCUUUGCAGGCCCCGCAUUUGCCCACAUGGAUGACCCCAGUGCCAGCCUCCUUGAGGUGGCACAGCCACCUGCCCACCCUGGGCUGCCCUCUUUCAGGUACAACUCAGAAUGCUCAGUCCUGGGGUCAAACUGCUUUAUCCAGGACGCUGAUUCAGGAAUCUUCCCUCCUUAUCCUUCCAUCCGUCACUUUCCUGCCUCUGGUGUCUGAUCCCACUGUCUGCACAGAGCCGAGAAUGAAGCCAGAACAAAGGCUGGGCUCAGCUCCUUUUGUUCCCCUCGAACCUGGCGGGGCCUGCUGGCUCCCUUGCAGCUUUCUGCCAGAACAGUCAGCCUCUUCCCCAUCCGCUGCCAGUCUGGGGUACAGGCCAGGAGCUGGGGGGCCCACGCCGCCCCCAGCCAGGAGUGUGGCUGGCCCCAGACCGGCAGCUCAAGAGUUGUGCCAUCCCCCAGGGAGAGAUGACAUGCUGGACGUGGAGACCGAUGCCUACAUCCACUGCGUCAGUGCCUUUGUCAAGCUGGCGCAGAGCGAGUACCAGCUGCUGGCCGACAUCAUCCCCGAGCACCACCAGAAGAAGACCUUCGACUCCCUGAUACAGGAUGCCCUGGAUGGGCUGAUGCUUGAAGGGGAGAACAUCGUGUCCGCUGCCCGGAAGGCCAUCGUGCGACACGACUUCUCCACGGUGCUCACCGUCUUCCCCAUCCUGCGGCACCUCAAGCAGACCAAGCCUGAAUUUGACCAGGUGCUCCAGGGCACGGCCGCCAGCACCAAGAACAAGCUGCCUGGCCUCAUCACCUCCAUGGAGACCAUCGGUGCCAAAGCGCUGGAGGACUUCGCGGACAACAUCAAGGUCCCUGCUGCCCUCCCCUUUCUCCCUCCCUCCCGGCCCAGCACCACAGUGACCUGGCCCUGGGGGACUCUUCAGAGCAGGCCUCCAAGAGGGCGCGUUGUCCCAGGGGUAGCCAGCUGCGCCGCUGGCCUGUCAGCACCCAUGUGCCUUCCUUUCCUUCCUGGGGCCUCCAAGCCCCCUGAAGUGGGAAGGGCCUCUCCCGCUUGGUCCAGCCUGGCUCAGCCUUUGUGCCUGAGAGGUGUCCUAGCACCCGUCUGCCAGCAGGCGGCACCAUGAGCAGGUGCACAGGGGCGUGGGGUGAGCUGGGGGCUGCUUCAGAGAACCAGAGGCUGUUUUUCCACAGAAUGACCCGGACAAGGAGUACAACAUGCCGAAGGACGGCACCGUGCACGAGCUCACCAGCAAUGUGGGUGCUGCCUGAGGACACCAGGGAGGGGGAGGAAGGAGGGCCCAGGCCCAGGGCCAGGCAGAGUACUGGUGGAAGGGACCCAGCCUGGCCCAGAGCCACUCGCACCUUCGUGAGCAGUCCUGGGUGGCAGGAUGGACAGUGACAUGCUUAGUGUCUCUAGCAGACAGGGCCUUUCCUGGCAGGCUAGAGUGAAAAUGAAGUUUCCAGCCACACUCUUCACUGGGCAGAUCCCAGCCCUGGGCUGGCCCUGGGCACUCAGAGGGGUCGCUGUGGGAGGCCAUCGGCUGGGCCUGCCACUUGCCCUUCUGCACCGUUUUCUUCCCACCCAGGCCAUCCUCUUCCUGCAGCAGCUUUUGGACUUCCAGGAGACAGCAGGUGCCAUGCUGGCCUCGCAAGAGACCAGCUCUUCGGCCACCAGCUACAGUUCCGAGUUCAGCAAGCGGCUGCUAAGCACCUAUAUCUGUAAAGUGCUGGGCAACCUGCAGUUGAACUUGCUGAGCAAGUCCAAGGUGUACGAGGACCCAGCUCUGAGCGCCAUCUUCCUGCACAACAACUACAAUUACAUCCUCAAGUCCCUGGAGAAGUCUGAACUGAUCCAGCUGGUGGCAGUGACACAGAAGACUGCUGAGCGGUCCUACCGGGAGCACAUUGAGCAGCAGAUCCAGACCUACCAGCGCAGCUGGUUAAAGGUGACCGAUUACAUCGCAGAGAAGACUCUACCUGUGUUCCAGCCGGGAGUCAAGCUCCGGGAUAAGGAGCGGCAGAUUAUCAAGGAGCGUUUUAAGGGCUUCAAUGAUGGCCUCGAAGAACUGUGCAAGAUCCAGAAGGCCUGGGCUAUUCCAGACACAGAGCAGAGGGACAGGAUUCGCCAGGCCCAGAAGACCAUUGUCAAGGAGACCUACGGAGCCUUUCUACAGAAGUUUGGCAGCGUGCCCUUCACCAAGAACCCGGAGAAGUACAUCAAGUACGGGGUGGAGCAGGUGGGCGAUAUGAUCGAUCGCCUUUUCGACACCUCUGCCUGAGCCUGCUGCUUGCCCUGCCUGGUUCCACCAGACUGGCGUGUCAUUGGACAGAUAAACCAGUGUUAACUUGC
rnacentral:sRNA from 1 species